GACGACGAUGUCGAUGGCGCCGGGGCUGACGCCCGUCUUGGCGAACAGGUCGUCGAGCGUCGAGAAGACGACGAGGUCCACCUCGCCGCGCGCCGCGUCGAUGGUGCAGUACUUGUAGGGCGGGAUGUAGUGGUGCGCGGGGGGCAGGCACGUCUCCUCCCCGAGCCCCGAGCGCUCCAGCAGCUUGGUCAUGAACCGGAUGCUGCGCUCGUUGAGCACCGGCACUGUUGGGAAUAGUCCCACAUUGUGUGGUGAGAGUGUGAUAGCAUGGUUUAUAAGGUUGAGGGUGCAACCCCUGACAGGCUAGCUUUUUGGGGGAGUUUUGGCCCAAGAGACCUAAAAGCCCGCUGCUAUACGUGCGGGCGCGUGUGUCGCGGCCCGACAGCCUGGGUGGGCGCGCCGUGUGUGCGGGCGGCCCCAACGGACACGCCGUGUGUCGGCGGUCCGGUUCCAACAAUUGGUAUCAGAGGCAGGUUGGCCCAGUGCAUUCUCAGAUAAAUUUCGGCUCACAAUGUGUGAGGGGGAGAUUGUUGGGAAUAGUCCCACAUUGUGUGGUGAGAGUGUGAUAGCAUGGUUUAUAAGGUUGAGGGUGCAACCCCUGACAGGCUAGCUUUUUGGGGAGUUUUGGCCCAAGAGACCUAAAAGCCCGCUGCUAUACGUGCGGGCGCGUGUGUCGCGGCCCGACAGCCUGGGUGGGCGCGCCGUGUGUGCGGGCGGCCCCAACGGACACGCCGUGUGUCGGCGGUCCGGUUCCAACAGGCACCUGCUUCGCGUGCUCCAGGAAGGUGGAGAAGGGGACGCGGCAGUUGGACGCCGUGCGGAAGCAGGCGUAGUCCACCAGGUACACCGCCCGCGGCCGCAGCAUGAGGUACACCGUGGCAGCCGCGGCCGGGACGAACGCGGCGAGGAAGAGGUGCGCGGGUCGCACCUCACCGAGCCGGCCGGCCAGUUCCUCCGGCGGCCCGAACCGCGCCGCGGCGACCAGCGCGGCCGCGGCGACCGGCACCGCCACGACGGCGAGGAUGUUGUCCACGACCCGGCGGUACACGGCCAUGAGGCCCCUGGC
rnacentral:lncRNA from 1 species